rnacentral:rRNA from 1 species
GACGAACGCUGGCGGCGUGCUUAACACAUGCAAGUCGUACGGUAAGGCCCUUUCGGGGGUACACGAGUGGCGAACGGGUGAGUAACACGUGAGUAACCUGCCCACAACUUUGGGAUAACGCUAGGAAACUGGUGCUAAUACUGGAUAUGUGCUCCUGCUGCAUGGUGGGGGUUGGAAAGCUCCGGCGGUUGUGGAUGGACUCGCGGCCUAUCAGCUUGUUGGUGGGGUAGUGGCCUACCAAGGCGGCGACGGGUAGCCGGCCUGGGGGGGUGACCGGCCACAUUGGGACUGAGGUACGGCCCAGACUCCUACGGGGGGGAGCAGUGGGGAAUAUUGCACAAUGGGCGCGAGCCUGAUGCAGCAACGCCGCGGGCGGGAUGACGGCCUUCGGGUUGUAAACCGCUUUCAGCAGGGACGAAGCUUUUUGUGACGGUACCUGCAGAAGAAGCACCGGCUAACUACGUG